ACAGAGGGGGCGAGCGUUGUUCGGAAUUACUGGGCGUAAAGGGCGCGUAGGUGGCCUGUUAAGUCGAACGUGAAAUCCCCGGGCUCAACCCGGGAACUGCGUCCGAGACUGGAAGGCUUGAGACCGGGAGAGGUGAGUGGAAUUCCCAGUGUAGCGGUGAAAUGCGUAGAUAUUGGGAGGAACACCAGUGGCGAAGGCGGCUCACUGGACCGGAACUGACGCUGAGGCGCGAAAGCGUGGGGAGCAAACAGGA
rnacentral:rRNA from 1 species